AAUGUUUGGCCUUUCAAAACUCUGCCACGCUAAAAUACAGUUUAAAGGCUUGCAAUACUCCUAAAAAAAAAACGCAGGAUACAAAGGGGAAACUGUGUUUAGAAGCCGUCAAUCGCUAGACUAGAGCACCACAACUACAAGCACAUGCAUAGUGAAAGAAAAAUUUAUGGGCUUCAACAUCGUUAGGCUAUCUAUCUGCCACCAUCAGAUCAUCGAACUGGCUCCGAUUUGUUGAGAUCUUUGUCAAUUACAACACUUGGGUAAUUUCCAAGAAGAGUUGCUGGAACAAACUGAUAGAUUUUUUGCUAGUCAUUUUGUGAUAGAGCUGCACAAUCAACACUGCUGGAAAGGAAGAUUUUUUAGCUAGAUCUAUUUUGUGACAGAGCUACACAAUCAACAUUGCUAGAAAAGAAAAAAAGAAAAAGAAAAAAAAGAAGAACCUUCCAUGCUUCUUCUUCCACUCCUCCUCCUGUGUUCAAUUACCGAUCCCUCAACUUCUCCUCUGCAGUUCAAUCUCUCCGCUGCUCCGUCUCCAUGGAAGGCUAAGGGCAAAUUAUAAAUACAAAAUGGAAAAGCAUACAGCCAUAAAGACAAGAGUACUUUUACAAGCACCUAUGGGAGCCAAUCAUAUCUGCAUCUUGGCGCAAGUUUAUUGAACUUGAGAACAUGCGUGUCUUAACCCAAUUCCUCGAAGUUGACACAUUGAGUUGCAAGAUUCAUCCAUAAUCUAUUAUCUUAGAAGCUUUAUAUCAGCCGUGCAGUUACUAUCCAUUUUCCUGGCCCAUGAUUCAUAGGCAAAAUUGGUUGAGAUGCAAGCAAAGUUGUCUAGAAGAGAGAAAGCAGCCAAUAUUAUGCCUUAUCUAGAUAUUGAUAUCUUCAUGAAGGUAUUGGGAUUUGAAGUGUACACUGUUACCGUGGUUGGAGAUCAAAUGUUAUAGGGGUAUCUCAACCUCAGAAGGACAAAGAAAGUGUGUUAUAGCAGCCAACAGUACAAGAGACUUUGAUCUUUUUGAUGAUAUUAUUCUCCCCUCUGAUGGCCAAAUUGUGAACCAAGGUCCCUGCAAACUCGAGCUUGAUUUUUUGAAUCCAUGGGCUUUAAAUGUCUUGCAAGGAAAAGUGUGGCUAACUUCUUUCAAGAAGCAGGUGUAGAUAUAGGUUUUUCUGUUUAAUAUGUUCCAAUAGAGAUGCUUGAUCUCUGAAAGGAAUGCAGUGAUUCUUAAGUCAAUGACUCAAUUGAAUAAAUUGAGGGAAUUGGGUAUGCGCCUCUUUUUGAGAAAGUAGAGAGUUCAUUUCUUGGUGGUUUUCGUUAUUGUAAUGUAUUUUCACUAUUUUGUAUGGAACAAAUGAUUCUUGUGGAUGUUAAAUUUGCAUUUGGGUUUGAGGAUUUAAAAUAAGGGUUUUAAGAAUAGUUGUUUGAAAAAUUGUUAGGUGAUUUUGU